AUGUUCCUAAUUGUUCAUUUGUCAGUCUUCAGCUUUUCUGCAGGCAGCAUGCUGCAUUUUUUUUUUUCAGAUGUCCUCUUCUGCACUCCUUACAUACAUGGGAAGACUAUGAGAGUUUUUACACAGUGUGUGCUGAGUAGGUACACCCAGUACAGAGUGAGCAGGAUGGGAGGGACUGAUUUCCAGGUACAGUAUGUCAAAAUUAUGUGACACACUAUACCACAAUAACAUGGAAGAUAAAACAUAAAGAUGUCUAAUUUAAUAUAUAUUUAUAUAUAUAUAUAUAUAUAUAUAAUGAAAUAAUACAAUUUGGGUGUAUGUUUGUGUGCAUAUCUGCUAUAAUUGUAAUAGGGAUGUAUUAAAAUAGUUUUACACAAUCAGAUCUUGGGAAAUUAACUUACAUAAUCAUACAACCUAAUUUAGGUGUCUUUCACACCCAUAAUCAAAUUCCCUACACCCAUCUGCAGGUUUCAUCUGUUCAUCAUUACUUUAUAAGUACCCUCUGCCCUAACUUAUUUGCUUCAUACAAACUUCAUUAAAUGCAAUAUCAAAAUUUUAACGGCAUCGGUUACUGUGUUUAUUUAAUUUCCUUUUGUAAAGGUUCUGAUGUGUUUCUGAGGGGACAGUCUCCAUGCUAAUUGUAUUUGUUGUUGUUUGUGGUUCACUCUGGGUUACGAGGGUUACGGUGAGUAUAACAGGUGAGAGAUUUCACGUGCCUUGGUCGCUGGCAUUAGGUGAUCCUGUGCUACUGUUGCCUGGUGUGUCAUUUUACAGAUCGCUGUGAAUGUGUUUGGGUCGCAGUGGUUCCUAUGGGAUCAGUUUACUAAACACUUGAACUUUUUUUUAUUAUGUAUCAAUUAAGACAGACUGAAGGACAAAUUAAGCGUGUGUGAGUGUUGGUGUUUUUAUUUCUUUUUACAAGAAUAAGUUGACUUAGACCUGAAUCUGAUACAGGACUCUGAAUUCUUGUCAUUGUUUAGUCUAAUUCAAUAUAAUUUGCUGUGUCUUCAGAGGACAUAAGGGACAAGUUAUUGGAUUAGAAGUACGUGCUCAACCAAGAGUUAAUUGAUUAGAUUGUGACAAAAAUGAAUUGUGUUGUGUAACUUCAAUGCAAUCUCUCUGGGUGUCUUGCUAGGAAAGUCUAAAUAUGAAGGACACUAUGUUUAUAAAUAGCAGAAAACACUGGGACAGCUAAAGCGGAAAUAAAGAGUGGGCUUGGACCCUUGUGACAACUGUUACUCAGCCUCACAAAAACAUAAUGUGAGCUGCUUGUGUAUCUCUGUGGAGUCAGUUCUCAGUAGUGAGUGAUAAAUGUCACAGUUGAUGCCACACUGGAGCUUUGUGACCUCUUGAACACAAAUAAACACACACGCGCGCACACACAGUGUGUGCCUCAUCUGAAGAGCUGCUUCAGGAGAGAGAUCUCACAGUACUGUUCAACUUUAUACAGUACAAACAGUACAUGAGAUCUUGGGGGAACUAAAGUAUUGUACAGUACAACAUUAAAAUCAAACAGAGAGACAGACAGAUAUAUA
ensembl:lncRNA